rnacentral:rRNA from 1 species
GUGAGGAAUAUUGCGCAAUGGAGGCAACUCUGACGCAGCCAUGCCGCGUGCAGGAAGAAGGCGCUACGCGUUGUAAACUGCUUUUAACCGGGAAGAAACCCCAGGACGUGUCCUGGGUUGACGGUACCGGAGGAAUAAGCACCGGCUAACUUCGUGCCAGCAGCCGCGGUAAUACGAAGGGUGCAAGCGUUGUCCGGAUUCAUUGGGUUUAAAGGGUGCGUAGGCGGAGCGUUAAGUCAGUGGUGAAAUCCUGCAGCUUAACUGUAGACUUGCCAUUGAUACUGGCGCUCUUGAGUGCGCUUGAAGUGGGCGGAAUGUGCCGUGUAGCGGUGAAAUGCUUAGAUAUGGCACAGAACACCAAUUGCGAAGGCAGCUCACUAAGGCGAUACUGACGCUGAGGCACGAAAGCGUGGGGAUCGAACAGGAUUAGAUACCCCUGUAGUCC